rnacentral:rRNA from 1 species
AUUGAACGCUGGCGGCAGGCCUAACACAUGCAAGUCGAGCGGAUGAAGGGAGCUUGCUCCUGGAUUCAGCGGCGGACGGGUGAGUAAUGCCUAGGAAUCUGCCUGGUCGUGGGGGAUAACGUCCGGUAACGGGCGCUAAUCCCGCAUACGUCCUGAGGGAGAAAGUGGGGGAUCUUCGGACCACACGCUAUCAGAUGAGCCUAGGUCGGAUUAGCUAGUUGGUGUGGUAAAGGCCUACCAAGGCGACGAUCCGUAACCGGUCUGAGAGGAUGAUCAGUCACACUGGAACUGAGACACGGUCCAGACUCCUACGGGAGGCAGCAGUGGGGAAUAUUGGACAAUGGGCGAAAGCCUGAUGCAGCCAUGCCGCGUGUGUGAAGAAGGUCUUCGGAUUGUAAAGCACUUUAAGUUGGGAGGAAGGGCAGUAAGUUAAUACCUUGCUGCUUUGACGUUACCAACAGAAUAAGCACCGGCUAACUUCGUG